CAAUGAGCUGAGGAGAAGGUUGCUCCUCUGGGCGAAUAGAAAACCUCUGGAGUGGGGGACUGACGUCGAUGCGUCAAAUUGCAUGACGCCUGCGUAGGAAGCAAACGGCCCUGUGACUGGUCCAGCACAGAACAUACCUCAGGCAAGCCAGAUACUGAAUUUGUAUGCACUGGAAAUGAAUGUUUUUCUGCAACAUUGGACCUGGGUGGGAGUGAACCUCAUUUUACUCUGAUAUCUGGAAUCUAGUAUAUAUUGGAAAGACAUUGGGACGCGGCUACAAAACUCCAUGUCAGGCCAGAGAUGGUUGAGAAGGAACUGAGGGGGUUGGGCUGUGCGUGUGAUAGAUGAGGCGCCAAUGGCGCUGCGAGACCACCACUGGGCAUGCACGACCCAGACGGACACUGCUGCUGAAAUUCUCCGAUCAAUGGCACAGGGGUGCACCAACACCUGAAGUGGAGCAUCCACAGGGGGACACAUCUCGAGGAACCUCAAUUACAGUACCAGGCCUUCCAAGGUGUUGCUGUGAAGAGAAGAGCUUGCGUCUGUCGUCGUUGCUGGCCUGGUACUAUUGGGAUCAUUGGAGGCUGCAAUCUGGGGCUGAAAUGGAUGGGUAGUGAAUGGGCGCCUCAAAGUAGGAAAGGGAGAGUGCAGUGCUGUCUUUAGGCCCAGCGCUCGGAAGGUGGCUUGGACCAAGUUGAUGCUGUUCUUUACUUGAGCCUCUGAACAACCCUUGAUCAGCCAGUCAGUGAGAGGCGGAGCUAAGAAGCAUGGCGACUGUUGAGGCCUGAAGUGCUUCCUCAAAGCGGACGGAGCAAGGGGCCCAGGGACCUGAGGGUAGCCAUUGAGUCCUUCAGGCCGUGUAGUCUCGCGUCCAUCUGCUCUGAAAAUAGUGAGGAGCCUCGAAAGGGCGGUCCUGGAUAGACUGCUGGAUCUCCUGAGUGAGUCCCGAUGACUGCAGCUGAGAGCAUCAUCUCAUGGUGACAAUGGAGGCCAUUGUCCUGGCCGCUGUGUCUGCUGCAUCCAGUGCCCCCGGAGAGAGGCUCUGGCAACAUUCUUUCCUUUUUCUAAGAUGGCUGAAAAUUCCUGCCAUAAGUCUUAAGACAUGGAGUCCUUAAAUUUGGACAGAGUCCCACAAAUUGUAGUUGUAUCUCCACAGUAAGGCUUGCUGGUUUGAGAUACAUAGUUGUAGGCCGCCUGUCAAAUAAACUUUCCUCCCUAACAGA